AACGAACGCUGGCGGCAGGCUUAGCACAUGCAAGUCGAGCGAGACCUUCGGGUCUAGCGGCGGACGGGUGAGUAACGCGUGGGAACGUGCCCUUCUCUACGGAAUAGCCCCGGGAAACUGGGAGUAAUACCGUAUACGCCCUUUGGGGGAAAGAUUUAUCGGAGAAGGAUCGGCCCGCGUUGGAUUAGGUAGUUGGUGGGGUAAUGGCCCACCAAGCCGACGAUCCAUAGCUGGUUUGAGAGGAUGAUCAGCCACACUGGGACUGAGACACGGCCCAGACUCCUACGGGAGGCAGCAGUGGGGAAUCUUAGACAAUGGGGGCAACCCUGAUCUAGCCAUGCCGCGUGAGUGAUGAAGGCCUUAGGGUUGUAAAGCUCUUUCAGCUGGGAAGAUAAUGACGGUACCAGCAGAAGAAGCCCCGGCUAACUCCGUG
rnacentral:rRNA from 1 species